UCCAGACUCCUACGGGAGGCAGCAGCGGGGAAUAUUGCACAAUGGGGGAAACCCUGAUGCAGCGACGCCGCGUGAGUGAAGAAGUAAUUCGUUAUGUAAAGCUCUCUCAGCAGGGAAGAAAAUGACGGUACCUGAGUAAGAAGCCCCGGCUAACUACGUGCCAGCAGCCGCGGUAAUACGUAGGGGGCAAGCGUUAUCCGGAUUUACUGGGUGUAAAGGGAGCGUAGACGGCAGUGCAAGCCUGGAGUGAAAGGCGGGGGCUCAACCCCCGGACUGCUCUGGAAACUGUACGGCUGGAGUGCUGGAGAGGCAGACGGAAUUCCUAGUGUAGCGGUGAAAUGCGUAGAUAUUAGGAGGAACACCAGUGGCGAAGGCGGUCUGCUGGACAGUAACUGACGGUGAGGCGCGAAAGCGUGGGGAGCAAACAGGAUUAGAUACCCCCGUAG
rnacentral:rRNA from 1 species